rnacentral:lncRNA from 1 species
GCACGCCGCACACCACCACAACAUCAGGCCGGGAAACGCACAUGAGAGGUAAAGUGUGCAGGAAACGCUGACCACUGAGUGAGCUGAGCACGGAAUGUAGGAAGGAGAGAGUGCAAAUGUGAGACGAGAGAACAUGAGAGUCAGCUGAGCGGAGCGGUAUGGACGGGGAGAGGGUGCAGGAGCGUGUGCAAAUGGCCUGUGAAGGUGGAGCAAAACUGCUGCCACUGCCCCUCGUGGUUAGAGCCUCGACUGCCAAACAUUCCGUCCCCAUCCACCAGCACCUUCCUCCUCCCAGCUUACCAGAACUUGAAGAUGAUGCCAGUGGCCACGAGAACAAUGAUGAUGGAGAUGGUAAUUGUGACAUAGAGCUGGGGGUCCA